AGUUGUGUUGCAACAAGCGUGCGCGAGCUCGCUGUCGUUGUUGAAUGGCCUGGAAAGCGCUGCGUAGGGGCGAGUGCAACCGAACGUUACAAGUUACGGUGGGAACUUCUCUCCGUGCUACGUGAUUGCGACGACAAGGACGGCUAGCAGCAGCGUGUCGCCGAUUUCGUCUUUGCCGACAUCGAACAAGUGCAGCUCGCCGGAGCGGGGCAAGCACCUGAAGUGUUGCGGUCUGCACUGGCGUCGUCUUUCAUUGUGAUGUGAGAGAUCGUAACGCACAGAGACUGCCAGGUGCAUACGAAAGCCUACCAGCAGGGAGUGACUGUGCCAUUUUUAUCUUAACGUCUCAGAUAUUGAAGAAGCGGCAACAGCCACAGGAAGUAGCCAUCUUAUCCAGCACGUUAUAGGUAGAACUUGGCGGCUCCUGCUCCUGCCUUCCGCCACCACCCUGUCCUGACUGUGUCCACGAGAGAGUUGGCAGCCUCAGUGAAGAUGCCAAGCAGGCCGAUGGCAGACAGCAAGAUGCAGGUUGCUGCGAAAUUUUACCCGAGCUGUGCCACACACUCGAGCCAGGCCUCUUGGAAAGGACGCAUAAUCUGACUUCACGCGUCGAUGUCAGAGGAUGCCAGGGAUCAAGGCAACCUGUUGUGCCCCAGCAUUCAACGUUUGGUGACCCUUCUACAUGUUUCACCUAUUUCGCAGCUGUACCUCGGCUGCCAUCUAUCCAAACAGCAUCGACAGCUGUGCCCACUUGUUGAACCAUGAGCAAAUAUUGGCAUGGAGUGUUCCCUGGGCUUGAUGUUCUGUUUUCUCUUUAGGAUUUGUAGCAAAUACGCCUGUUAUAAGUUGUGUUUUUAGUACUGACUUUUUAAUAUUUCCUUUCUCUUGGAAUUCUUAGCAUCAUCUCCUGCUAUUAUAUCUGUAUGUAUGCCCAGUUUCUCGUAGUUCUUUUGUACUUGUGUAUGUAAUUGAUCGGAGUCAUGAGGUUGGCAGAAAACCAGAUGGGAUGAUGAAGUUAGGAAAUUUGCAGGCGCAAGUUGGAAUAGGCCAGCGCAAGACAGGGGUAAUUGGAGAUCGCAGGGAGAGGCCUUCGUCCUGCAGUGGACAUAAAAUAGGCUGAUGAUGAUGUAAUUGAUAGGUUCUUAACUGCUGACUUACAUCAUGUUUUGUUCAUUUGUUAAUCUGCACUGCUGUAAAAUGUUCAAGAAAUUUAACUUAACUAGUGCUCUAUGGCAGGAUAAAUUCAAGAGCAAAAUAGAGCGCUCAUUUCAAGCACCCAUUAUUUUUGAAAAAGGAAAGAACCUAGGAGCGUGAAAACCCCGGUAUUAUAGAAGGAAAAGCUGGCUGCCCAUC